rnacentral:rRNA from 1 species
CGUCUAUAUACGUAUAGCAUAUCAAUAAGCGGAGGAAAAGAAACUAACUAGGAUUCCCUCAGUAACGGCGAGUGAAGCGGGAAGAGCUCAAAUUUGAAAUCUUCAAGGUUCUACCUUGACGAAUUGUAGUUUAAAGAAGUGUUUUCUGUUGGAGUUUUGGUAAAAGUUCUUUGGAAUAGGACAUCAUAGCGGGUGAGAAUCCCGUAUUUGACCAUUAUUUCCAACUUUGUGAUACACUUUCAAAGAGUCGGAUUGUUUGGGAAUGCAGUCCAAAAUGGGUGGUAAAUUUCAUCUAAAGCUAAAUACUGGCGAGAGACCGAUAGCGAACAAGUACCGUGAGGGAAAGAUGAAAAGAACUUUGAAAAGAGAGUUAAACAGUACGUGAAAUUGUCAAAAGGGAAGCGUUUGACACCAGUGUUGUUUUCUCGAAAAUCAAUUAAAAAUGACCGGAUUUUGUGUUGUAUUGACUUUAUCAGCUUUCUGCACUCUUUUCUUGUCUUUUUUAAUGCACUUUUCGUUUAACAAGUCAACAUCAAUUUCUUUUGUUGUAAAAGAGUCAUUGGAAGGUGGCUUUCUUUUCGGAGAAAGUGUUUAUAGCCUUUGACUUCUGCAGUCGGAGAGAUUGAGGUCUGCAGCGUAGAUCCUUCGGGGUUAGAUGACAUUUGUGCUAAGUUAUAGCCUUUCAUAGACAACUUGUUGACUAUGAUCAGUCAUGUAGCUUACUCGCUUAUGCUUAUUUUACCUACGCUUAGGAUGUUGACGAUCAGCUGAGCGCG